ACGGAAGGCAGCAGUGGGGAAUAUUGGGCAAUGGGCGAAAGCCUGACCCAGCGACGCCGCGUGAGGGAAGAAGGUCUUCGGAUUGUAAACCUUUGUCAACAGGGAAGAAGCAAGUGACGGUACCUGUGGAGGAAGCCACGGCUAACUACGUGCCAGCAGCCGCGGUAAUACGUAGGUGGCGAGCGUUAUCCGGAUUUACUGGGUGUAAAGGGUGUGUAGGCGGACUGACAAGUCAGGUGUGAAAUCCAUCGGCUUAACCGAUGAACUGCACUUGAAACUGCCAGCCUUGAGGGUCGGAGAGGUAAGCGGAAUUCCCAGUGUAGCGGUGAAAUGCGUAGAUAUUGGGAGGAACACCAGUGGCGAAGGCGGCUUACUGGACGACAACUGACGCUGAGACACGAAAGCGUGGGGAGCAAACAGGAUUAGAUACCCUGGUA
rnacentral:rRNA from 1 species